rnacentral:rRNA from 1 species
UGGGGAAUAUUGCACAAUGGGCGCAAGCCUGAUGCAGCCAUGCCGCGUGUAUGAAGAAGGCCUUCGGGUUGUAAAGUACUUUCAGCGGGGAGGAAGGCGAUAAGGUUAAUAACCUUGUCGAUUGACGUUACCCGCAGAAGAAGCACCGGCUAACUCCGUGCCAGCAGCCGCGGUAAUACGGAGGGUGCAAGCGUUAAUCGGAAUUACUGGGCGUAAAGCGCACGCAGGCGGUCUGUCAAGUCGGAUGUGAAAUCCCCGGGCUCAACCUGGGAACUGCAUUCGAAACUGGCAGGCUAGAGUCUUGUAGAGGCGGGUAGAAUUCCAGGUGUAGCGGUGAAAUGCGUAGAGAUCUGGAGGAAUACCGGUGGCGAAGGCGGCCCCCUGGACAAAGACUGACGCUCAGGUGCGAAAGCGUGGGGAGCAAACA